rnacentral:rRNA from 1 species
AUUGAACGCUGGCGGCAGGCCUAACACAUGCAAGUCGAGCGGAGCGGCGGACGGGCGAGUAAUGCCUAGGAAUCUGCCUGGUAGUGGGGGAUGGCGUCCGGAAACGGACGCUAAUACAGACUACUAUCAGAUAGGCCUAGGGCGGAUUGGCUAGUUGGUUGGGUAAAGGCCUACCAAGGCGACGAUCCGUAACUGGUCUGAGUGGAUGAUCAGUCACACUGUAACUGAGACACGGUCCAGACUCCUACGGGAGGCAGCAGUGGGGAAUAUUGGAAAAUGGGCGAAAGCCUGAUCCAGCCAUGCCGCGUGUGUGAAGAAGGCCUUCGGAUUGUAAAGCACUUUAAGUUGGGAGGCGUUACCAACAGAAUAAGCACCGGCUAACUUCGUGCCAGCAGCCGCGGUAAUUC